AUGAACGUCAUCUUCACCACAACUACACAGAAUUAAGCAAUUGAGUGAUUUUGAUUGACGUGGAAGAGUCUUCACUUCCAACACUGUGGAAAUCUCUGAGUCAAGUUGGGGAUAUCUAGUCCUGUUCUCUGGUGAGCAGAUGCCUGUGUGGGCUUCAUGGGUUGCACAUCCAAGACUUGCGUCAAGGAUGGAAUCACCUGGCAGACAAGAAAGCCCAGGAUCAUGCCUGUGUCCUUCAGUUCAGUAGAUACUCAAGAUCCCUGAGUGCCUAAGAGGAGUCAGCUUGUUUCAUGUGGGGUUACUCACCCUAUCCUGUUUCAUUUCAACUUAUGACAACUGGAGUCUCUCGUCUGAAGUCACACAUGAGUUACAUGUGGUUUGGAUCUGGCCUGAGAAGGAGCCUCAACCAAACACUCAGCAUUUUGGUCUGAGAAGAAGGUUGCAUUAUACUCUAAGUACCUGUUUCCUCAAGAAAGCAUCUUAGUAGCUAAGCACAGCAGCACCUGCAGGAAUCUUCAACUCGUAAGCGGCAAGGAAUGGUCUGAAGUACCCAUGUUUACUUUACUCAGGGGGAGAGCAGCUUUGGGCGUUCUCUCCUCUCGCAAGGAUGGACUUUUAGCUCACUGUAAAAGCCGAGAAAAAUCAACAUUCACAGCCUUUGGGACACAGCAAGGACCUACUCGACUCUCCUUCCCCUGUCCGUCCUUUAUCAGGAACAACGGUAACAGCCGACACAACAAUCCUGCUGUGCUAAAACACAAUGGAUCUCAAGUGUGGGUCACAAUGAUACUGGAUUUACACGCGGAAAUUAUCAGCAAAGAGUAGGAGAAACGACUGGAAAGGAAGAAAGAGAAGAAGGCAGAAGAGAAGAGAAUGAAGUAAGGGGGACAAAAAGACAAGAGACACAUUGACAGAAGGAAGAACAGACAAGAGGUGAGGGGCAUUGGGAAGAUGAAGCAUGGAAGGAUAAACCCUCUCGUACUGUGAUAAGGAUGAAAUGCCAGAAGAACCUAAAGCUGGGCAGAGGAGAUGCAGCCAUUGAAGUUGGAGUGAGUAAAUCCAUCCCCUCCGCACACCAGGAAAGGCUUGAGAUGAAGAGUCAUCUGACCAGGUCUGUCGGAAACUGAGCUUGUAACCUGGAAAAGCAAAAAUA
rnacentral:lncRNA from 1 species